AAUAAUCUAUGCCUUGGUCAGGACUUCUUGGUAUUUGUGGAGUUCUUACAGGGCUAUCUACUUUUUUAUCUUCAGGCGAAGUCCCUACUGAAACUUCCUCACUCUUUUACCCUCGUCAGCCAUGACCUCUAGGGCAUAACAACUCAACUUGAUAAAUCUCCAAGUGUAAUCGGCCACUAAUAGGCUUCUUUAACUCAGCUGCAUGAACUCCAUCUCCUUAUUAUGACAAAUAUGAAACAUGAAAAUAUUCAACAAUGAAUGCCUCUAAAAAUUGCUUCUAAGUGAUGGGAAUGGCCAGCGUAGUCUGCAUGAGCUCCCAUUAGUGCUCUUCCUCUCCUUCAAUCAUAUAAGUGGCAAGAACUACCUUUU
rnacentral:lncRNA from 1 species